GCGAGGUCGAUCUUUAUGUAGGAUAACUCUUCUGUCCAUCCAUAGUCUGCCCUCCUGAAGAGGGAUGCUGCAGCUAGCUCAGCUCAUUCCAGGGUCAAGCAGGAACAUGGAAAUGCUCUCUGGAAAGCUAGUAUGGGCUGCUCCACCUUUCAGCAUGUGCCCACGGGCCAGGGCUCUGGCUCUGGGUGUGGCUACUCGCCGUGGCAGGAAGAUGAGUCACAAGAAUUGGUAUUAGUGUUCCAGCUCUGCCACCAACUACCUGGGUAACUUUGGGACUUGGUGCUGGAGGAAGGCUUUAGAGAUGACCAAAUCCCACACCCUCAUGGCAAAGAGGAGGACCUUGAAGCCAGGAGAUGGAGGCAGCUGGCCAGAUGUCACACAGGCAGGCAGUGAGGGGCCGAGGAUCCUGUGAGAAAGACAAAAAAUGGUCUUUUCCCAUAAGAAGCUGAUCUUCCACUGGGAUGGGACUCUGAGGAAGGAAGCAACAGAUCCACAGAUGAGUAAAUACAAAAAUAUGUGCACCCAGGUAGAUGGAGAUCCCAAAGUGGCUCCUCCUGGUCAAUUCUUGACCACAUCCUUCCUCAAGUUCACACUGCGAGUUCCCCCAACAUGCUGCUUGUCUUGCUUUCUGUCUCCUGACCUCGUGAGGCUACCAGUAGAACACUCAGACUGUCCACCUAGGAAACUGCAUCCUCUCCACAUGACCAGCUGUUUUUGUUUUUACAAAAUUUCUCUGAUGAUGUCCCUCUCAGCAGUCCUCAUUCAAAGUUCCUCAUUGGGUCUCCCUUUCAGCCUGCUCACACCCACCAUGCAUUCUUCCUUUGCCUUUGGUGUGAUGGUAAUUUUUAAUUCUUCAGAGACUCUAAUGUUCCAUGACUCAGUCACAGGACACUGAUGGGCUAUUGGCUUUGAAAAGAUGGACCUUUGUU